CUAGAGGGUGAGAAAAGGAUGGAUACACAUGUCAUUCCUUUUGAUCGUGCCAUCUUAGAGAAAAUGGAACUACAUGAGUAUGCUGGUAGUGAUCAGGAUGAAGCACCCGCAGCUAAGGAAGACUUGGAGGAGCAUGAAGAGGAUGUGCAUAAGGGUGAGGAUGAGCUGCAGGAGGGAGAUGGGACACAACAGAGAGAUGAGCACCAGCCUGAGGAAGGGGUACGUGUUAGGGAAGAGGAGGAGCACUCAAAUCCCUUCCAUGAUUUCGAUAUUAGCGAUAUUGAUGUAAAUCUCAUGGAAGAGGACAUGGCAAGUUUAGGAAUCCCACCCACACAUGUUCCUGAGAGUACCCACGGUACCAAAUCCUACUAGGGAGAAGACUUUCUUGGCUAGUUUCACUUCCCAGACUCACUUCAAGACUGCUCCCACUCCGACUCAGCCUUCUACCUCUACUGGAGUGCUGGAGCACGUGGACAGAGGUUUUGCUCAAGUUGCCACUUGUUUGGAUAGUUUGGAGUCUCAGGUUGGCACUAGCUUAAAUGCACUUGCUUCCAGAGUUGGGUUUGUGGAGUCUUCUUUUGAGGGAUUGGCAGAAUGCAUGCGCAUUUCGCCGAACUAUAGGCCUCCCUGCUUUCAAGCUUAAUCUCAGCGGGCUUCUUCCUCUUCGAGUCACUAGCGGCGAUCUCAGCAAUAGAGCUCAAUUGUCUCCAUAAAUUUUCUCUCACUUUCUGACUUGUCUUUGUCUUUCUUAUUUUGUGUACAAAUUGACUUAAAUCAGUUCUUUUAGACUCUUAGUUUGUACUUAAUCCCUAUGGGGUUCUGUUGUUUCACCCCCAUUUUGUACUUACGGGGUUUCUUUCCCUUUCCUUUUUGUACUUCUAUCUUUCUUGUGGGAGUUCUAUCUAUUAAGGUUUACUCACAUAUGUAAUUUCUUAAGUUUUAUCUUUCAUGUAAUGAAAUCUUAAUGAGAUUUAUCUA